UGAGAGGUGUUCUUUGACCACAGAUAUAGUAUUAGGAAUUUAUGGUGGGCUCCAAGUAGCUACAGUGACUGGUCAAAAUGAUGAACAAAGUUACUUGUAAGCCACGAUUGUGAGUCCCUAUCUUGAAAGCCUGGUAUGCUGAAUUAUGUACUUCCUUUCUCGGUCACCAUUAACUGAGCCCUCUCUCUUGGGGAUUUUUCUGAGGAAACUUAAAAAUCAUUACUCAUUGAGGUCUGGAGGAAUAGCCUGAUCUCUUCGGUUUAGAAUGUUGAGGUUUCAACUGGCUUGGGGGCUAGAAAGCUCUACUCCCAGGCAGGAUAAUUUGUUGAGUUAUUUGUCUUUGUUUCCUUUAUACUUUACUCAACAUUCCAAGCAGGUGGCCAAGUCUUUCUCCUUCCUUGUUGCAGAACCCAAAGAAGUAGUUGGCAGAGCACCUCCCUUCCUGCCAUUUUCCCCCUUGGCCUCAAGGGAUUUGAGCAUAACGUGCUAGGGAAAGGAGUAAAGUCUUUGAUAAUGAGAGCUAAGAUUGUUCCUGAAAGGGAGAAAUGGAUAUCCUUACUUUUUGUAAAUAAUGGGGCUCUGUCAUCCACCCUCCUUAGAACCUCAGAAAGAUGACAGAACUGCUCAGGAUGAUGACUGCAUGUGGAGCUAGGAAGGUCUUCCUGGAUUUUUGAGUUCUUGGCUUUCAGCUCUGGUAAAGAUUCCCAUGGGGACACAAGAACAUUCAACUUCAAGGAUGUAUGCAAGCUUAGCCUACAGGCAUCUUGGUGGAAUUGUGUAGAUAACCAUGGAAACCAUGUUGGCUCACAGGUCAAACCUGGAAGGGCACCUACUUUUGUGUGAAUGAUUAUGUGUGCAUGCGUGUGUGUGUGUGUGUGUGUGUGUGUGUGUGUGUGUGUGGUGCAGGGGAUGGAAUCCAAGGCCAUAUUAUAUAUUCAAGGAAGUUUUCUACUAUUCAGUUACACUCCCCACCUACAUUUUUAAAGUGUGAGAGGAAAAAUGCAAGAAUGUUUUGUGGCAUACAAUUAUAUGAAAUUCUAUUUCAAUAUCCAUAAAUAAAAUCUUCUUGGAGCACAGUCAAGCUCAUCCAUUUACCUAUUGUUGAUAAUUGCUUUCAAGCAACAAUGGCAAAGUUGAGUAAUUGUAACAGAGACCUCCCUGGCUUACAAAGUUUAAAAUAUUUACUCUCUGGUUCUUCACACAGAGCAUAUGCAAAAUCACUGAAACUUAUACCUGUGACCUUUAUGCUGAGUGACCGAUAAGGCCUUGGCUUUGCAAAAAUUACUUUGUUCCAGAUAGUUUUUUUUUCUUCUGAGGGUUCUGGUGAGGACCUGAGAAUUAAUAUCAUUCCUGUCCCCUUAGUUUCUGCCCUUACAAUUGUAUCAUAGUCAUAUGAUCACAGCUGUGAUAGGAAUACCUAAGAGGAGAGGAGGGGAGCAUUUCAAUGGAAUUGGGUGCGGUUAUAAAUACCAAUGGGGAGUGGAGGCCUGCAGAGGUCUCAGACCGAGGAAGAUGAGCAGAGUGGACAAAGGCUUCAGUUGCCGCUGCUGCAGGCUGCUGCACAACUCAUGUCCACAAUCCUCCCUGAGUGCUCUGGCUUCUGGUAUCCAGUUACCAGAUUUAACAAUUUCCUCUCGCUUCUGCUUGGCUCUGACUUUUGUGUAAUUUAAUUGGAAACAGAGCCAACUCUCACAGAAAGGCUAAACAAAUCUACCUCCUGCAGAGGCAGGAUAAUCUAUGAUGCACAGAUUUAUUAUUUUUAAAAACAAAUAUGUUCUGCACACUUACUUUGAUCACUUCCUCAUCUACUUAGUUGGCUCAGCUCUCUGAGCCUGUUCCAUGUAAGGGAUGGCAUGUCUGUCAGAUGGGCUGGGCUGAGAGUUUGGGAGUCAUCGAUCUUGUGUUCUGGCUCUUGCUCUAGUUCUGCUUUUCUUGCUCAUCACUGUCCCUUUUACCCAGUGAAAGACUGAGCCUCAAAAAGAGGCUUUGUUGCCCCUAGGACAGCUGUGAGAAAGUCCCUGAGGGGUAGUACCAGAAGCCAGGCUGGCUAUGCACCAAUUACUUGUCAAAAACCAUUUAUGAGAAGUUCUUUUGAUGUGAGGAAAGGCUGGUUUGGGGAGGAGGCCAAUGUCACCCUUGAACCCCAGCCUGCAUCUUCCACCUGACUUUUUUUCUCCCCCACAAUCUCCAUCAGGGGUCUCCCUGCUCCCAGAUUGUGUGGUUGGUGGAGUCCUCCCCCUAGAUUCCCAGGGCAGGGGCAGAUACACCUUCAGAGGAUCUCUGUGCUGGGUCCAUCUUCUGCUUCUGAGGGACUGCAGUGUGGUGGUUGUCCUCUCUUCUGCAUCGUAAUCACUGCUCUAUGGAGAACUACCAGCACAUUCUUUUCUUCCACAGCCAGAAACAAACAUCCCAUAGAUGAAACCCAAGACAACCUUCUUUAGACCUCAUGCCCCUUUUAAGAUAAAGUCUCCUCGAUAGCUGAAGCUCUUGAGAGUGGUAAUUGCUCUCUUACCUCCUAGUCCACCUGCAAUCCACAGCAAUAGGGUUUCCAGCUAAGGCAUCUCGCAACCAGAACUACCUUGGGCAGGUUUCUUUUUCAGUCUUCACCUUGUCUGAUCUCUGUUGACUGCUCUUUUCUCCUCCUCCUCCUCCUUUUUUUGUGAUACUGGGGAUUGAACCCAGGGCCUUCACACUGAGCUACAUUCCUAGCCCUUUUUAUUUUUUAUUUUGAGACUGAGUCUGCUCUCUUCUUGCAGCCUGUUUUCCUUUGGCCUCUGUGACAUUACACAGUCCUGGAUUUUUCUCUAUUUCUCUGAUCAUUUGUUCUUAGUCUUCUUUAUCAACCCUUGCUCUAUUCACACUCUUGUGUUACAGUUCCUUUGAGCUCUGUCUCAUCCUAUACUUGUUCCUCAAGAAACCACAUCUAAUUCCUUGGCUGUAAAUGGAAUGAAAGAGCUUAUUCAUAUAGCAAAAUGGCCCCAUGAUAGUACUGAAGCUGUUAGCUCUGGUGUGCAAGGCCAGGUUGGGUCAGUAUAGGCCCACGGAAGAAGAAAACUGGACUUUCAACCCAAGGGAAUCACUGAGGGAGAAGCCCAAUCAAAUCUUUUUAGGGAAAACCACUUUUAGGGCCAUCUUAUAGUCUAGGCUGUGGCUAGAGCAGGACCUCUCAGUCUGAUGAGUUAGUCUUGGAUCUCAUUUAUGUGAAACAUCAAGAAUAAGCAGGGCUGGGGAUUUAGCUCAGUGGUUCUGGCGCCUGCCUUGAAAGUGCAAGGUCCCGAGUUCAAUCCCUGGUACUUAAAAAAAAUUAAAAAAAAAAAGAAUAAGCAAAUAAUGUACCAACAGAAGGCAAGUUAAUGGUUGCCAGAGUAUAGCAGGGAGGGAGAAAUGAAGAAUGAUUGCUUAACAGGUAUGUGAUUUUCUUUUGAUGAAAAUAUUCUGCAACUAGACAAUGGCAUUGAAUGCACAAUGCCGUGAAUGUCCUAUGUGUCACUAAGGCUGAAGAAAAUCUAGGGUUCAUCCUAGAAAAGGAACCACUUCUGAACCAAGCCACCUUGGACAGGGAUACAUUCAAGGUCAGCAUGAUGAAUAGGAAUCAGCACAGCAUAGUUGGAAGAUCAUGAGCCUCGGAAUCAGCAAUGGAUUCAAAUUUCACAUCUCACAACAAACUCUAGUUUCUCAUCUUUACUGGGACAAAAAUAAAAAUAUUGAAUUCAGAGUCCUUUUUGAGGCAUACAUGCAACGAAGGGAAAGGACUCCAUAUAGUACGGUGCUAAGGGUACACAGGGUGGGAUACGUGUGACAAGUUACGAGGAAUGUGGCAUUUAGUUGGAACAGGAGAAGGAGGGUGCCUUCCUCCUGCUCACUGAGUAAAGCAGAAAAGUUUCAGGACUCUGCUUUCCCCUCCUCUCUUCCAAAGUUGCUGCCCAGCCCCUCCUUGGCACAGUUGCUCUGUAGGCUUUGCCCUGAUAUUGCCCCAGCUCCCUGCUCCAAGGUAGAGGGUAGGAGGGGCCUGGCUUAUGUAAAUGAGGCCCAGACUUGGGAGACAUGCUGAAACAUAAAGUUUUUUGGGGGUACAACUAAUAUCCUGAAUCUGGUCCUUUCCCACCAAAGGGCUGGCUUUCCUUAAACGGCUUUGAUCUCUCCUUUCUAUAUUCGCCUCUACACACAUCCAUUCCUAACCCUGAGCUUCUAGAAAGUCUGUGGAUGGGUCCAGCCCCUCCAGGGGCAGCCUUAGUUCGUCCACAACAUUUUGGGAUGUGGUUGUCUCAAAAAUGCCCACUGGAGCAGCAGUGGGGUGAGGCAACACACUAUUCAUUGCUUUCACUUACUAACCUGAACACAAGAAAGUCAGUUUAGGGUUAGAUCACUGGUUCUCCCUCUCCUUCCUUCUGCAUCAGCCACUUGCACAACUAUCCCCAGAAUCAUAAUAUCAGCUGGCAUACAUUAAGUGAACAAUGGGUUUGUAGUCAACCACAAAUCAAACCCAGGGGAUUUAACUUUAUAUUCUAGGCUUUCAGCAUUGCACUAAACCAGAAUAGAGUGCACAAAAAGAUUUUUUUUUUUUGUUAGUACCAGGGAUCGAACUCAGGACCUUGGACUUGCGAGACAGGCGUGGUGCCACUGAGCUAAAUCCCUGGCUUCUGGUUUUUUGCUGUUGUUGUUGUUCUGGGGAUCGAACUUGGGACCUUCCACCAUCACUGAGCUAAAUCCCCAGCCCCGCACAAAAAGAUUUUUAAUGAAAUGUAAAGGUCUGAAUUUUAUGUCAUGAUGCCAAUAUCAAUAGUUACUGGGAUUCAAUCAGUAUCUUUUGAAUGAAACUUGUUAUUUUUACAUUCUAUAAUCAGAGUUUGUAUUGGCACAACCAUCUUUGGAAAAUGUAAUUUGCCCCAAACUAUUGGAAGAUGUUAUAAAAAUUAGACUUUUGUAUAAAAUAUUAGAAUUUAUUCUACCAAUGAAAAGAAAGUAAAAUGUACUCACAAAAUUUCCUUCUUAUUUUGGGUUCCACUUGCAUCUUCAAAGCACCACCUAUCUUAAGGAUUGGUGUGGCCUCCAAGUUACAUUGUUUAUAUGUAGAGAAAUCAAAAAGAUUAUGUGAAUAACUUAGGCUUUCAAAGUUGCAUUUUCUCAUAGAUGAAGGAUGUAUUCUAAACUUGAACCUGAUAUUGAAAAACCCAGAGAAGGAGAAAACUGAUUUUGAUUUAAGAUUCAGAGAGAGAGGCAAAAAUCCCUUUGAGUAUCCCUAUGUUUGAGUGGGGUAGCACAAUGAAUAAGUGCAACUGUGUAGUUGUUCCUACACUGUCCUAGAGCCUUUCAGGCCUGACCUUCCUGAAUAUGACUGUCACCAUUUCCCAGCUAUUACUGCAUGGAAGCCUAACAAGAGCACUAUUGGUGAUACCCAUGUGCAACCUACAAACUCUUCUUUUGGCACAGGCUAUGCUGUGACAUGGAACAGAGGUAGGGUGGGCACUGCCAAAUUCCUUCUCCUCACUAAGAUGAGUACAACUGAACACAUAUCCUUGCCCUGUUUACUGGAGAAACAGGGUGGUCACAAAUACUGAAAAAUGAAACUUACACUAUCAGAAAAAAAAUCAGUUCUAAACCACAAAAAUAAUGAAAGUAAAUUUGAAAGCAUGAUAUAGCAUAGUUGAAAGGAGAAUAUUAUGAUUAUUGAGCAUUUUCUACAGUGUACAUUACUUAAUUUCAUAAUAAAUUCUGUAAACUGGGUGUUAGUAUUAUCUUUAUUUUUUGGAUGGGAAAACUGAGGCUUUGAAAAUUGAAAUAAUUUGUCCACAGCACAUAUCUGUCAGUGGUGAAGUUGGAAUUAAAAUCAAGUCUAACUCUAAAAUCACAAUUUUACCUGCUAAGCAAUACUUCUAGGCCCUCUAAGCCUGCUGUUUGUUACUCUUCUGAAGUCUGGUUGAGUUAUUAUCACCCAACUAGUCACACAAACUCAGAAAUCAUUGUUGACAAGGUCUUCUUCAUCUCUCUCACAUCCACUCUUAAUUUCACAUUCAGGAAGGCUCUGCCACAUGCCAGGUAGUACAGAUAUGAUGGCAAAAAAGAUGGUAAAGAUUCCUGCCCAAGGUAAGCAAGUCAGAGUCUUCUCUGGUGUUCUAAAAUUUGGAAUCAGACAAAACACAUAUCACUGUCCUGGUCUGAAGCAGGGAGAUGCUAGGCCAGUAAGCCUGGUGCAGCUGUUUCUUGUUGUAUGGAGAAAUUCAGAGAGAAGUAAGGGGACACUCAGAAAGAAUCACAAUGACAGGUGGAGAGAGGAGCCCGGCAGUAGGGUCCAUGAUUCUGUUUUCAGCUGUUCCUAGGCCAGUUGCACCCUCCUCUCACCACAGCUAUGUGAGCUUUUGAUAAUUUCCACUUCCUGUUUAAAAUGGUGAGAGUUGUAUUUCAGUCACCUGCAACCCAACCUCUGUUGAGUGAUACAAACCACAACAAAAAGGCAUUUGCUAUCUCACCCUAGGAUAACCUAUUUUUACAUGGUGGAACAUAUUCUCAUAGGAGGAUUUCUGAGAGUACUUGCCCUGCUGACGAAAUCUCUCAUUCCAGCCCUGGCCAUCAAUUCACAGGGAAUGACCUAAUCUGCCACCCCAGUACUCCUCGGCCGACCUGCCUGGCCAUAGUUUACUCAUCCACUUCUGGCUCAUGUUGAGCCAAUCAGAAACCCUGUUCAUAGAAUUUUACGUUCAGACUACAAUUUUAUGUGUAGACACAAUUUUAUGUUUAGACUAUUUUUGUUUGGUCUACAUGGGAACAAUUUCAUCAGGGUGGUAUAGGAAAAAGUUCUGCAGAUCCUGGCUUUUCUUUUCUUUUUUCUUUUCUUUUCUUUUCUUCUUUUCUUCUUUUUUCUGUACUGGAGGCUGAACCCAGGGUCUCACCCAUGCUUCCACUCAGGCAAGCACUCUACCACUGAGCUAUAUCCCUAGCCCUCAACUGUAUCUUCAAAGUACAACUCUUCCUUCAAUUUCUUGAGCUGCUUUAGCCUUUUUAAGCAAAUUUAUUCAAUCCUUUUUUUCUCCCUUGAGGUGGCCCAGGUCGAAAUUAGUUUCUUGGAAAGAAAACAAUUUUACUGCCUUUUAAUUCUUCCAGAUUUUAUUUUUAUUUUUUCUUUUUCAAAUCUUUAUUUAAAAAAUUCCUUUGAGGGCCAGGGAUUUAGCUCAGUGGUUCCAGUGGUUGCCUUGCAAGUGCAAGGACCCGAGUUUGAUCCCUGGUACCAAUUAAAAAAAAAUUCCUUUGUUACAAGUUUAAAUUCAAAGUAAUACAAGAGGAUAUUAAUAAAGAAAAUAUUUUUUAAAAAUAGCCUUUUAUGAAAAAUAAAGCAAAAAUUCAUAAUAAAUAAUUUUAAAAUAACAUUAGUUAAUAUACUGUGUGCCAUAAUCUUAAAAGAAUGGCCAAAAUGUUAGAGUACAAGUCAUAGGCAAAAGAAACUCUUACAAAAAAGAUGCCGGAGAGUUAGCUCAGUGGUUCCGCCACCUGCUUUGCAAGUGCAAGGACCUGAGUUUGAUCUCCGGUACAAAAAAAAAAAAAAAAAAAAA